ACUUGCUUUUUACUGCCCAGGGCUUGUGCCGCAUUCACCAAAGUCAAAGGAACGGGUGAGGGUCCAAAAAGUUGGUCCCAGUGACGUGUUGGCCGUCAAUAUCAUCAGGUACAGCACAGCUUUUUUAUUUGGGAAGAAUGUCUGGACCGUCAUGGAAAAAGCAAAUGCAUAUUUCUUCUACAAAUAGUAGCAUUUAGCAUCUUACUUGACCACAUUUGCAAAAAAGAGGGAAUAGAGACUUCUAUAAUUAAAGGGAAAAGGAAAAUGAAAGGAGCUGAAAAUACUGAACUGUGUAGUCUGGGUGGCUUAAGUUUGAAAACACAUGAAAUUAUCAGGACUGCCAAACAGCAUUUCUGAGAAACCGUAUCACAGAUUGUGAAGAAAAUCAAUGCUGAAACAGUUAGGAGGAGGCAUCAUACUCCUACUCCUUUCAAGAAUCCCAAAAAUAGUUGCUGAGUUGUUGGGUUGUUUUUUUUUUUUUUUCUUCUUCUUCUUUCCUGCUGAGGAAAGCGAAAUGCUACAUUGAAAAUAAAAUCAUCAACUAUAUCUUAAGCACUAGUCUGUAUGUCUAUAAAAUUUUGAAUUGUGUCUUUUCUUUAGAUUUCAGGGAAGAAAUUCAUUCACAUUAAUAAACACCAAAUAACAGAUACCAUAGGACUUGGGUAAUAGCUGUAUUUAAGUUGUAUUGUUAAUUACUUCAGAGUUUAUGCAUUGUAUUUUUUAAAAACAAUUGUACCAACAGGCUCGUUUUUAAUUAUGGAAAUUGGCAGUUGCUGCCAUAGUGCAACAAAGAUUAACCGAUUUUUCAUUGGAGAACAAAUUAUUUGGGCUCAGGUCAGCAACAACUUGCAGUUCCUGUGACUUCUAUAUUGAUUAUGGUGUGUCCAACUCACCCCCAAAAAAGUUUUGGCAUAUUUGGUUUUCUCUGCCAACUCAACACCAUUACUUCCUUAAAAAUCAGGGUAAGGAAACAAGGCAACUUCUGACCUCUGGAUCUUCUGAAGACUGGUUUAUUCAUCAAAGUCAUUAGAUCUUACCAAACAUUGUAUACUGAGAACUGAUGACAAAAGGAAUAGAGUACUUAAGUCAGAUGAUAAUGCCAAAAACCAAAUAGUAAUGGCCAAUCUUGCUGAAACCAAAAUAUUCUUAUGUCUCUAGUUACAGCCAUAGGCUAAAAUACACCUUCAAAGACCAAUAUAACAAGUAACCAUAUUAGAAUUAAAUAUUUUUCUUUUGUAAAAGAAAUGGUCCCACUUUGAUUCAACAUAGAAGUCCCCAUUACAACAUCUUCAUGGGAGAUCUUUAAGUCAAUGAAGUCAUUUGUAUUUAAGUCUGCAAAUAAUACACUGUAAUGCAACUGAGGCAUAAAGCUUAUUGAUGUAGCUUAUGGAAACAUAAAUAAAGCCAUUUCCCUGAGUUAUGGACA
rnacentral:lncRNA from 1 species